CCCUGAAGUAAUGCGCCGUGCUUCUACAACUAUGACAAACACUAAAAUUUGGCGCUCUCAUCCUGAGAUUGAGAACAAACUCAUUAUAGACACAAAAUGAAAAAAAUUAUGCACGAAACUGCACCUCAAUUCUGAGAUUGACAAGAAACAAGUUACAAACAGAACUGCACAUCAAACUCAAUACCUUGUAGACUCAUUACAUUACAGACACAACAAACUCAAACAAUAUUCCACCAUUACAUUACAUUACAAACCAAUCAAAAGAAUGGCAACUCUUCCUCCAUUACACAUCAAUAGACACGAACUCAAACAAUAUUCCACCAUUACAAGGCCACUGAUGCCAACUUCUGUAAACUAAAACUGAAUUAAUUACUGAAGAUUCAAAAUCAUAAAAAAACAACCUUGUUCGAAUAUUCCACCAUCACAAAAAUGCACACAAACAAAUUUUAACUCCUUGUGAAACAAAUUAAGAUAAGCCAAAAAAUUCGUAAUGGACAAUGGAAACCCAAACCAUGAUUACAGCAGUGAAAUCUGGGUUUGUUAAAGAACAACAUUGUUCGAAUAAAGGGCAGUGAAAUGGUAGCUCAAACGGGGAUUACGGUAAAAAUGGUAAAAAAAUAGAAAAAUGCUAACUUGUUCACAACAAUGUUGGGAUAAAUCUGGACAAAACCGUUCUUCACUGUUGCGUUACCGUUCGUUCAAAUUUCUCAUCGGAGAUCUCUUCUACAGUAUUUGUACGAAGCAAUCAUAGGCGGAGAACUGAAAUGGUGGGAGUUCGACUAAGAAAAUAGUCACCGGAGAGUCGAAGAACAAGGCCGCCGUCCAAGCGUCUACUGGAUGCACCGAUCGGCGGGGCAAGCAGAUUCAAAUCGCCACUAGGGUUUCGAAGGCGAGAAACAGAGUUGGAAAUGAAAUGGUCUUUCACAAGUUUUUGACCUUUUAAUCUUUUUUUUUUUAAAA
rnacentral:lncRNA from 1 species